rnacentral:rRNA from 1 species
UAGCGUUGUUCGGAAUUAUUGGGCGUAAAGCGCGUGUAGGCGGCUCCUUAAGUCUGAUGUGAAAGCCCUGGGCUCAACCCGGGAAGUGCAUUGGAAACUGGGGAACUUGAAUACGGGAGAGGGUAGUGGAAUUCCUGGUGUAGGAGUGAAAUCCGUAGAUAUCAGGAGGAACACCGGUGGCGAAGGCGGCUACCUGGACCGAUAUUGACGCUGAGACGCGAAAGCGUGGGGAGCAAACAGGAUUAGAUACCCUGGUAGUCCACGCCGUAAACGAUGAGUACUAGGUGUUGCGGGUAUUGACCCCUGCAGUGCC